CGAGCGGGGACAUAUUGUGAAGCAGAAGUUUUCGGACGGAAGCGGAACGAUAUGUUCUAGCGGCGGACGGGUGAGUAACGCGUGAGCAACCUGUCCCUUACAGGGGGAUAACACAGCGAAAGUUGUACUAAUACCGCAUAAGACCACAGAGUCACAUGGCUUAGGGGUCAAAGGAGCAAUCCGGUAAGGGGUGGGCUCGCGUCCGAUUAGAUAGUUGGUGAGGUAACGGCCCACCAAGUCGACGAUCGGUAGCCGACCUGAGAGGGUGAUCGGCCACAUUGGGACUGAGACACGGCCCAAACUCCUACGGGAGGCAGCAGUGGGGAAUAUUGGGCAAUGGGGGAAACCCUGACCCAGCAACGCCGCGUGAGGGAAGAAGGUUUUCGGAUCGUAAACCUCUGUCCUAGGUGAAGAGAAAGAGACGGUAGCCUAGGAGGAAGCCCCGGCUAACUACGUGCCAGCAGCCGCGGUAAUACGUAGGGGGCGAGCGUUGUCCGGAAUGAUUGGGCGUAAAGGGCGCGUAGGCGGCCCGGUAAGUCUGAAGUGAACAGUCCUGCGUUACAACGUGGGAAUUGCUUUGGAUACUGUCGGGCUUGAGUGCAGGAGAGGUAAGUGGAAUUCCCAGUGUAGCGGUGAAAUGCGUAGAGAUUGGGAGGAACACCAGUGGCGAAGGCGACUUACUGGACUGUAACUGACGCUGAGGCGCGAAAGUGUGGGGAGCAAACAGGAUUAGAUACCCUGGUAGUCCACACUGUAAACGAUGAAUGCUAGGUGUAGGGGGUAUCGACCCCUUCUGUGCCGCAGUUAACACAAUAAGCAUUCCGCCUGGGGAGUACGGCCGCAAGGUUGAAACUCAAAGGAAUUGACGGGGGCCCGCACAAGCAGCGGAGCAUGUGGUUUAAUUCGACGCAACGCGAAGAACCUUACCAGGUCUUGACAUCCAGUUAAAGUUGUAGAGAUACAAGGUGUGCU
rnacentral:rRNA from 1 species